UCGGACCCCGCGGCUGGCGUUUUUUCCUCGGCGCGGCUGAGAGCCUGCGAGUUCCUCUCUGGGCCUCCCAGCUUAUUUUAGUUAAGGAGUCACCGAGGCCUAGCGUGCUGGUUACCAGAGCUUCUAGAAGCGGCUUGCCGGCUCCUGGCAUUUUCCGGGCCAGACUGGUUAUGAGGACGCGGCAGGGAGACUGUUGAACCCAGGUCUAGCGUUGCCUUCGUUCGGCCAGCGCCCGGGAGCUCGACUCCAGAUUCCCUGGGGCUGGAGAAGCCGUUGUUUCGUCCGUCGGGGCCAGAGGUGCAGAUGGCUGAGGGGUUGUUUGUCAUCCAGAAUUCUACGGUUUUGUGAUUCUUUUGUGAUUUAUAUUUAAUGAGCAUGUCAACUUCCAAGAUUAAUCAUGAAAAUUUUGAUUUGGAAGAGGCCCUUUGUUUGGAAUAUGUUUGCCCUAGAUAUCUUCAUGGCUUAUUCUCUACCAAAAUGGAUUCUGUGCGACUGCCCUUUUAUUUUGUUAUAAUUGGUCCACUUUCUGGUUUUUUCCUUUCCCUUCAUUUGGAAGAGCUGUUAGAAAUGUUUACAGUGCACUUAUUCCUCACAAAAGCCCUGUGAAGUAGACGUUAUUAACUCCUUUUUAAGGAUGCUGCUAAUAAAAGCCAGAAUGUGUUAUGAAGGUACAACCCAAGCUGCAACUUCACUCUUCAGCAGCAGGAACUACUCUCUAACGAAUGAUGUACUCCAGAUUGAAAAUUCCUCAAGUGAAAUGCUUGAGAUUAAGUAAGGUGUCCUUGUAAGAAGAGGAACAGACGCCAGGGAUGCAUGUACACAGAGAAGAGACCAUGUAAGGACACAUUGAAAAGGUGGCCAUCUGCAGGCCAAGAAAAGAGACCUUAGGAGGAACCAAACCUGCUGACACUUUGAUCUUGGAUUUCUAGCACCUAGAACUAUGAGAAAAUAAAUUUCUGUUGUCUGAGCCACCCACUGCCAUCUCCAGGGAAUAGCUGGGUGAAUAUAUUUGCAAGUAACUAUUCUUUUUCCUUUCCUAUAUAUACUGGUUAAAAUUGUAGGUCUCACAGGUUAUCAAAAGUUCAGAAACAGAUAUAAGUAUACUUAUAAGAACAUGCAAUAUAGUAAAAUAUUUAAAAAGUCAGUAGGGGUAAGGAUGAAUUAAUUAAGAAGUAGUAUUGGAGAAUCACUUGAAAAAACAACAUUUAACUCGCUUACCUCACAGAUUACACAAAAAAUUAACUUCAGAUGGAAUAAAGAUUUAAAUGUUGAAAAAGAAACAUGGAAAUACUAAAAUAUAAAGAUUAAUAUUUUAAUGUAAUCCAGGGUACAGAAGGCAUGUUUAAACAUAUGUAAACAUAAGUACUAAAAGAAGAAACAAAAA